rnacentral:rRNA from 1 species
UGGGAUGAUCACGGAGCCCUGAUGGGCAACGAAGGCCCUCGUCUAUGAAUAUUUUUACAAACGCUCAAAGUAUGACAGAAUGUAUAUCAUAUUGCGUCUGAUAAACGUGACAAAUACAACUUUCAACAACGGAUCUCUUGGCUCUCGCAUCGAUGAAGAACGCAGCGAAAUGCGAUAAGUAAUGUGAAUUGCAGAAUUCAGUGAAUCAUCGAAUCUUUGAACGCACCUUGCGCUCCUUGGUAUUCCGAGGAGCAUGCCUGUUUGAGUGUCAUGAAAUUCUCAACUGCCCCAGGCUUUGUGGCCUGCGGGUGAAGUUGGACUUGGAGGUAUGCUGGCGUAUGAAUGGGCUUUUGUGCCCCGUCUCGCUUGUUGGCUCCUCUUGAAUGCAUGAGCUUUCCAAUCCUUGGCAAAGUAUCGUCGAUGUGAUAAUUGUCUACGUCGCCUGAGAAAGCCGAAAAGGGGAAAUCUUUGAUCACGCUGGGGUGACCUGCGUCUGACAAAUUCGACCUCAAAUCAGGUAGGACUACCCGCUGAACUUAAGCAUAUCAAUAAGCGGAGGAAAAGAAACUAACAAGGAUUCCCCUAGUAACUGCGAGUGAAGCGGGAAAAGCUCAAAUUUAAAAUCUGGCGGCCUCCGGUCG